rnacentral:rRNA from 1 species
CUAUGCGCCUUGCCAGCCCGCUCAGUCAGAGUUUGAUCCUGGCUCAGGAUGAACGCUAGCGGCAGGCCUAAUACAUGCAAGUCGAACGGGGUCCUUCGGGGCCCAGUGGCGCACGGGUGCGUAACGCGUAUGCAACCUACCUUCAACUGGGGGAUAGCCCGGAGAAAUCCGGAUUAAUACCGCAUAACACGACUUGAUGGCAUCUGAGGGUCGUUAAAGAUUUAUCGGUUGGAGAUGGGCAUGCGUGCCAUUAGCUAGUUGGUGGUGUAACGGACCACCAAGGCUACGAUGGCUAGGGGUCUGAGAGGAUGGUCCCCCACACUGGCACUGAGAUACGGGCCAG